rnacentral:rRNA from 1 species
UACGUAGGGGGCGAGCGUUGUCCGAAUUUACUGGGCGUAAAGCGCGCGUAGGCGGUUUCUUAAGUCUGGGGUGAAAGGUUCAACGCUCAACGUGAACAGUGCCUUGGAUACUGGGAGACUUGAGUCUGGGAGGGGGUAGUGGAAUUCCUGGUGUAGCGGUGAAAUGCGUAGAUAUCAGGAGGAACACCGAUGGCGAAGGCAGGUCUCUGGGCCAUUACUGACACUGAGAAGCGAAAGCAUGGGGAGCGAACAGG